CAAAGAUGGAGACGUCGUGGCGUCUCUUCGGAGACAUCCGAUAAAAUUGGAACGAUACAGAGAAGAUUAGCAUGGCCCCUGCGCAAGGAUGACACGCAUAAAUCGAGAAAUGGUCCAAAUUUUUUUUCCCCAAUUUCCGAUUGCUAUCCUGGCGGGCGUCUUCCUCUCCACGUCUUUCAAUGCCCUUCGUUUUUUUUCUACCUAUGGUUGGGGAUUUCGGCUCUUCCUCUCCACGCCCUUCUAAUUUGUUUCGGGUCCCCCCUCGAUUUCUUGGUUUAUCAGAUUAAAUCCGGCCAUGGCGGGACACUGGGCAUGGUUGGGGAUUUCGUCUUCGUCUUCCGUACCCUCCUACAAGAUGAACAAGAGGACAUAUCCUGAGGCAAGAUUUCCCCUAACAAAUGGAUUCUUAGUCGGCAGCACAAAAUGUUCUGUAAGUCAUGAUGAAACUCGAUUUACCCAUGAAAAUCCCACCUAUUUCAGUCUGUUUUCAUUCAGAAGAAACUAUAUUUGCUUGGCCCAAGCUGGGAUCUUGCAGAAUAUUAUGGGCUAGCCAUGGCUAGCUUGGACCAGGCCAUGCUUCUGCACCGGCCUAGCCUUGCCACUCAACGAUGCACGAGUGACCUCCAAAUUGAUGUGAUUUGUGCAGCUUGUGGGUGAUUCUUGUGAAGGCUGCAUAGCAUCCUAGUAGUGGUAUGUUCGAGUUGCAAUCAAAACACAUAAUCUGGACUUUUUUGUUUGAACAGAAUCAAUCCCAAGUGCGCCUGCCGACGAUUAUUGUACAUUGCCAUGGUAAUUAUAUACUAUCGUAGCUAA